GAUUGAUCUUGCUGCAGGUGCCCAGGGAGGCUGGGCUGUCCCCCUGGCCAACUGAUUGUAUUGCUCAGCUGCAUGUGGCUGCUAUGGACCCUUCGUCAUUUUAUCAGGCAUGGGGAGCCCCCAGUGCAGUUGGCUGCAAGUUCUAAUAGUGCAUUCCUGUUGCAGUUUUUCUUUUAAGUGAGUAGGCCCCCAGCAUGGUUGGUUGCUAGGCUCAGGGGCUUACAAUUGCUGUAGGCCUACAGCCUGCAAGGCUGUUGUUAGCUCUCUCAGGAUUUCAGCUGAGUGGGGCUGGCCCCAGGCACAAAAUCACCCAGUUGUUUUAGGCUUUGGAAAGUGGGCCUGACCCUCUAUGUGGCUGUUUAAGAAGCACAAGUCUUCUGCAGCUGACAAGUCCAACCACCCACAGGGCCACAUACACUGUCAACACAGUCCUGCCCUGUGCGUGCAUCCUGACUCCCUGAAGCAGACCCAGUCACCUCACCGCAGAGCCCUCACACACUCCACCAAUGCUCCACACACUCCACCCACUCUUUGUGCACACCCUGCCCACAGAGGUGGACCCACUUGCCUGGCUGCAGAGGAUCCAGGAACCCAGCCUAUGCAGUCCCACAAGUUGCCUGAGAUCUUGCUGUUGUGUGGGGCCAGUCCUGAGGAGGGCUGCCUGCCCUGGCUGAGCUCAACUAAUUCAGUGCUCUAGUGGAUGGGGCAGACCCUGGGUUAACAGUUCAGGGGAAGAUCUCCAAUGAUCAUCUACCAGGGUCUGUGUCAGCAUGCCUGUACUAGGUCACAAUAAUCACUGCUGCCAAUGUCGCCGUCCCUGGAGAGGGCUCACCUCUCACUGAGAUGCACCCAGAGCCUAUCAGUUUGAAAGCGAAACCAAUAACUUGUUUGUGAACUGAUCAUCCCUGAGGCUCCUUUGACUUGCUGUCACCUGUGUGUAAAGGUCUGAUGAAGCAGAGAUGACAGUGACCAGCUGCAGCUGUCCCCUGUGACUGCCCUGCACAGCCAUUCCUGCUCGGCUCGCAGAAUUAUUAUCAUGUGGAAAGGAAGGAAUGCUUUCCAAAGUGCAAGGGGUUAUGCAGCCCUGGUUUACCCUAUGCCAUGCUGGGAGGGGGAGGCAGCGAGCGGCAGGUGCUCUCCACAUUCUGCAUAAAAAUGUCUCCAAUGUGCUUCAAAAUGUUUGUCGCUCCCACAGAGAACCUGCAAAUCCUCACCGCAGGGCCUUGCAGAGGAGGACACGGAAACGUGUGCUGAGGAGGACUUCCUCUCACCUGCGUUUCCCCAAAGCAAUUCCAAAGCAUGAAGGUCUUUGUCUUCUAAGCCAAGAUGUCAGCUUUCUGCCUUUUUGCGUCAGAUUUUGCUCCGUGUUCUGCUUACGCUGCUAAACGCCAACUUGAAUGAAGUACUGAGCAUCACUGCCCCACCAACCCAAGAUUCUUCCGGACACGGUGGGCACUUUAUACCCGGGGACAGUUCUGACUCCCCUUGUCAGGUGUUGCUGGUCUCCAUCGCAUUUGCCAAAGCCUCGCAGGUACCACUCUGUCACCGUCAAAUGUCCCGUCGCUUGGCUGAGGUGUUCCCCACCCAGGUCCCAUCUGGCACGCUGGUAUGUGUCGCUCUCCAUCUUUUUCUCAGACCUUCCAGUUACGGGGUCUGAGGCAAGCGUGCUGGAAGUCCUCAGAGCUGUGCGUCUUCAGACUUGAGUUUUGAAGCUUGAGACCUCACACACGCUGGCUUUGCUCGCCCUUAGUCGCCUAUCAAACCUAUAGCAAUGCGCUGGUUUCCUUUGCUCUUUUUUUCCUUUCAACAUGUACAAAUUCACUUGUUGCCAAUUCCCUAAAAACAACGUUUCCCUGCUUCUUUUAUACGUUACGAGACUCCUAAUUUCUUCCCUCCAUUCUCUUCUGACGUUACUUCUGUUUUUAUUUAUUGUUCUUGUUAAUUGUAAGCAUUUAGAGAAACUAAAGGGCUGGUUCCUUCUCCCACCCAUUCUAACUGAGAGCAUAUUUCCCCUGGAAUAAAAUAAAAUUAAACUCUGUUCCUAAAGAGUAUGCUGGUUGGAGAACUCAGGUGCUCUCUCGCACUGCCUUGGUUUAUCCCUGAUAAACUUUGAGCUAUGUCCUUGGGCAUAAGUAAUUUUGAUUCCAAUGUUUACUGAUUAAAUAGACUAUUUGUCAUUGACCCAAUUCUCAGAGUACACAUCCCUCAGGUUCCCUCACCUUACUGUUUUUGACCUUAGCUCUCUAUUUAAUCCUUUUACUACUCCAGUUAGCGAAAUGGGAAUUGUCCUUAUUCAGUGGGUACAUAGAAGGCAGGUAUGAACUGUGACAUGUGUUGUGAUUCUCAGAACAAAGUGCCUGGUAAAGGAUAAGUAUCACUAUGGUUAUUAUAAUUAGUAAUGACAGAAAUUUACAUCACCAACAUGAAGA
ensembl:lncRNA